rnacentral:rRNA from 1 species
AUUGAACGCUGGCGGCAGGCUUAACACAUGCAAGUCGAGCGGAGAUGAGGUGCUUGCACCUUAUCUUAGCGGCGGACGGGUGAGUAAUGCUUAGGAAUCUGCCUAUUAGUGGGGGACAACAUUCCGAAAGGAAUGCUAAUACCGCAUACGCCCUACGGGGGAAAGCAGGGGAUCUUCGGACCUUGCGCUAAUAGAUGGGCCUAAGUCGGAUUAGCUAGUUGGUGGGGUAAAGGCCUACCAAGGCGACGAUCUGUAGCGGGUCUAAGAGGAUGAUCCGCCACACUGGGACUGAGACACGGCCCAGACUCCUACGGGAGGCAGCAGUGGGGAAUAUUGGACAAUGGGCGGAAGCCUGAUCCAGCCAUGCCGCGUGUGUGAAGAAGGCCUUUUGGUCGUAAAGCACUUUAAGCGAGGAGGAGGCUACCUGGAUUAAUACUCUAGGAUAGUGGACGUUACUCGCAGAAUAAGCACCGGCUAACUCUGUGCCAGCCGCCGCCGUAAUAC